rnacentral:rRNA from 1 species
CAAUAGCGUAUAUUUAAGUUGCUGCAGUUAAAAAGCUCGUAGUUGGAUUUCGGGUGGGAAUGGCCGGUCCGCCGUUUCGGUGUGCACUUGCUACGCCCACCUUGCUGCCGGGGACGUGCUCUUGAGUUCACGCUCGGGACACGGAGUAGGCGAGGUUACUUUGAGUAAAUUAGAGUGUUCAAAGCAGGCCUACGCUCUGAAUACAUUAGCAUGGAAUAACACGAUAGGACUCUGGCCUAUCUUGUUGGUCUGUAGGACCGGAGUAAUGAUUAAGAGGGACAGUCGGGGGCAUUCGUAUUUCAUUGUCAGAGGUGAAAUUCUUGGAUUUAUGAAAGACGAACUACUGCGAAAGCAUUUGCCAAGGAUGUUUUCAUUAA